rnacentral:rRNA from 1 species
GACGAACGCUGGCGGCGUGCUUAACACAUGCAAGUCGAACGGAAAGGCCCUGCUUGCAGGGUACUCGAGUGGCGAACGGGUGAGUAACACGUGGGUGAUCUGCCCUUCACUUCGGGAUAAGCCUGGGAAACUGGGUCUAAUACCGGAUAGGAGCCAUUUUUAGUGUGAUGGUUGGAAAGUUUUUUCGGUGUAGGAUGAGCUCGCGGCCUAUCAGCUUGUUGGUGGGGUAAUGGCCUACCAAGGCGGCGACGGGUAGCCGGCCUGAGAGGGUGGACGGCCACAUUGGGACUGAGAUACGGCCCAGACUCCUACGGGAGGCAGCAGUGGGGAAUAUUGCACAAUGGGCGCAAGCCUGAUGCAGCGACGCCGCGUGGGGGAUGACGGCCUUCGGGUUGUAAACUCCUUUCGCUAGGGACGAAGCUUUUGUGACGGUACCUAGAGAAGAAGCACCGGCUAACUACGUG